AAUAAGCUUGGCUCUGACUUGAAAGCACAAUGAAAACAAAAAAAUACACAUGGUAUUAAUAGAAUGAGGUGAGGUUAAAUACAUCAGUAGAUAAAUAUAAAAUUCGUUUCCUUAUGUUUUUAGUGGUAUUAUAGUAAUUAUAUAAGGCCUUGAUAUGUCCCACUAACACCAGUGUCUGAUAUUAAAAAAGAGUGAAAACUUGUUUCAGUUUAGUUUUUAAGCCUGGUUAACUUGGUGCCAGCAUCCGCGGUUAUACCAAGAUGGCUAAGUUGUGCUUAUUUGGUAAAAAGAUAGUUAAGCAAAUUUAUUAUAGUCAUUUAAUCUUUUAUAUAGGGGUAUAAUCUAAAUAUCAAUAGAAAAUUUAACAAUGACUUAUAUGCUGAAUCUAUGAAUAUCUUGAGGGAAACUAGGAUUAGAUACCCUAUUAUUCUUGAAAGUAAAUAGAAUAAAUCUACCAGAGUACUACGAAUAUUAAAAUUUAAAACUCAAAGGGCUUGGCGGUGCUUUAGACCACUCAGGGGAACCUGUCUCAUAAUCGACAAUCCACGUUAUACCCUAUCUUAGUUUGCUUUCAGUAUGUAUACCGUCGUCGCCAGGUAACUUUUAAGAGACUAAAAGUUAGCAACCUAAGUAAAUGUAAAAAUAAGCUAUGACGUCAGAUCAAGGUGCAGCUAAUACUAAGAAGAGGAUGGGUUACAAUUAAAAUUUAUAAUUACGGAAAUAAAAGUAAAAUUUUUUAUUAAAGGAGGACUUGAAAGUAAAAUUUAUUUAUAAAAAUUAACUGAAUAAGGCUCUGAAGCGUGCACACAUCGCCCGUCGCUCUCGUUGAAAAAUGAGAUAAGUCGUAACAUAGUAGAGGUAAUGGAAAUUGUCUCUGGUUGAAA
rnacentral:ncRNA from 1 species